UACCAGCACCCCGAGUGGUCGGGACGAUUAUUGGGCCUAAAGCAUCCGUAGCCGGUCCUACAAGUCUUCCGUUAAAUCCACCUGCUUAACAGAUGGGCUGCGGAGGAUACCGCAGAGCUAGGAGGCGGGAGAGGCAAACGGUACUCAGUGGGUAGGGGUAAAAUCCAUUGAUCUACUGAAGACCACCAGUGGCGAAGGCGGUUUGCCAGAACGCGCUCGACGGUGAGGGAUGAAAGCUGGGGGAGCAAACAGG
rnacentral:rRNA from 1 species